UAGCGAGCCUGUGGAAAUAGAAGCUAAAACUCUCUACAAUGAUAAAGCCCUUAUUGGCUGUUUGGUCGUCCUCAUCUGUGCAGUGGCAUUUCUCAUCUGUGGAAUGGCUUUCUUCAUCAGGAAGAGGAGAAAAAGCAGACAUGCUGUUAAUGAAGAAGGGCUGCUAGCCAUGACAGCAAGUAAGUCAAGUGGAGUAAGAGGAUAACAAUAAACUGUAUUCUUACUGUUAGGCCUUGGUUAGAGCACC